rfam:Chryseobacterium sp. Leaf394 contig_3, whole genome shotgun sequence.
UCAUAGCCCCGAUGGGAACGGCAUCCUUUUUUGUCUUAUGCGAAAAUUUGAUUUUGAUAACAAAACUUCUGAGACAAAAAAGAUACAGUGGACAGCGGGAAACAGC